GAUGAACGCUGGCGGCGUGCUUAACACAUGCAAGUCGAACGGAGUACCCCUGAAGGAGUUUUCGGACAACUGAUGGGACUACUUAGUGGCGGACGGGUGAGUAACGCGUGAGUAACCUGCCUUGGAGUGGGGAAUAACAGCUGGAAACAGCUGCUAAUACCGCAUAAUAUGUCUGUGUCGCAUGGCACUGGACAUCAAAGAUUUAUCGCUCUGAGAUGGACUCGCGUCUGAUUAGCUAGUUGGCGGGGUAACGGCCCACCAAGGCGACGAUCAGUAGCCGGACUGAGAGGUUGGCCGGCCACAUUGGGACUGAGACACGGCCCAGACUCCUACGGGAGGCAGCAGUGGGGAAUAUUGGGCAAUGGGCGCAAGCCUGACCCAGCAACGCCGCGUGAAGGAAGAAGGCUUUCGGGUUGUAAACUUCUUUUCUCAGGGACGAAGCAAGUGACGGUACCUGAGGAAUAAGCCACGGCUAACUACGUGCCAGCAGCCGCGGUAAUACG
rnacentral:rRNA from 1 species